rnacentral:rRNA from 1 species
UACGUAGGUGGCAAGCGUUGUCCGGAUUUAUUGGGUUUAAAGGGUGCGUAGGCGGUCUUCUAAGUCAGUUGUGAAAUACUUCAGCUUAACUGGAGAGGUGCAAUUGAUACUGGAAGACUUGAGUACUGAUGAGGUAGGCGGAAUGGACGGUGCAGCGGUGAAAUGCUUAGAUAUCGUCCAGAACACCGAUAGCGAAGGCAGCUUACUAAGGAGUAACUGACGCUGAGGCACGAAAGUGUGGGGAUCAAACAGG